GAACGCUGGCGGCAGGCCUAACACAUGCAAGUCGAGCGGUAGAGAGGUGCUUGCAUCUCUUGAGAGCGGGCGGACGGGUGAGUAAUGCCUAGGAAUCUGCCUGGUAGUGGGGGACAACGUUUCGAAAGGAACGCUAAUACCGCAUACGUCCUACGGGAGAAAGCAGGGGACCUUCGGGCCUUGCGCUAUCAGAUGAGCCUAGGUCGGAUUAGCUAGUUGGUGAGGUAAUGGCUCACCAAGGCGACGAUCCGUAACUGGUCUGAGAGGAUGAUCAGUCACACUGGAACUGAGACACGGUCCAGACUCCUACGGGAGGCAGCAGUGGGGAAUAUUGGACAAUGGGCGAAAGCCUGAUCCAGCCAUGCCGCGUGUGUGAAGAAGGUCUUCGGAUUGUAAAGCACUUUAAGUUGGGAGGAAGGGCAGUAAGUUAAUACCUUGCUGUUUUGACGUUACCAACAGAAUAAGCACCGGCUAACUUCGUG
rnacentral:rRNA from 1 species